CUUAUACAUGCAGUCGUACGGUAACAGGUGUAGCAAUACAUGCUGACGAGUGGCGCACGGGUGAGGAACACGUACGCAAUCUGCCUUUGACUGGGGGAUAGCCCUGGGAAACUAGGAUUAAUACCCCAUAACAUUACGAUGUGCAUCACAUUGUAAUUAAACCUUCGGGGGUCAAAGAUGAGCGUGCGUUUGAUUAGGUAGUUGGCGGGGUAACGGCCCACCAAGCCUACGAUCAAUAGCUGGCGUGAGAGCGCGACCAGCCACACGGGAACUGAGACACGGUCCCGACUCCUACGGGAGGCAGCAGUAGGGAAUAUUGGACAAUGGCUGAAAAGCUGAUCCAGCCAUCCCGCGUGAAGGCAGAAGGUCCUAUGGAUUGUAAACUUCUUCUCUCUGGGAAGAAAAAGCCGGUUUCUACCGGAACUGACGGUACCAGAGGAAUAAGCACCGGCUAACUCCGUGCCAGCAGCCGCGGUAAUACGGAGGGUGCAAGCGUUAUCCGGAUUCACUGGGUUUAAAGGGUGCGUAGGCGGGCUUGUAAGUCAGUGGUGAAAGCCCGGAGCUUAACUUCGGAACUGCCGUUGAUACUGCAAGUCUUGAGUACGGUUGAGGUGAGCGGAAUACAUCAUGUAGAGGUGAAAUUCUUAGAUAUGAUGUAGAACACCGAUUGCGAAAGCAGCUCACUAAAGCGUAACUGACGCUGACGCACGAAAGCGUGGGGAUCAAACAGGAUUAGAUACCCUGGUAGUCCACGCCCUAA
rnacentral:rRNA from 1 species